UGGGGAAUAUUGGACAAUGGGGGCAACCCUGAUCCAGCGACGCCGCGUGUGUGAAGAAGGCCUGCGGGUUGUAAAGCACUUUUAGUGGGGAGGAAAUGCUCAGACCUAACACGUCUGGGAGCUGACUUAACCCAAAGAAAAAGCACCGGCUAACUCUGUGCCAGCAGCCGCGGUAAUACAGAGGGUGCAAGCGUUAAUCGGAAUUACUGGGCGUAAAGCGUGCGUAGACGGUUCUGUAAGUCGGAUGUGAAAUCCCCGGGCUCAACCUGGGAAUUGCAUUCGAAACUGCCGAGCUAGGGUGCGGUAGAGGGAAGCGGAAUUUCCGGUGUAGCGGUGAAAUGCGUAGAUAUCGGAAGGAACAUCAGUGGCGAAAGCGGCUUCCUGGACCAGCACCGACGUUCAGGCACGAAAGCGUGGGGAGCAAACAGG
rnacentral:rRNA from 1 species